rnacentral:sRNA from 12 species
GCUUUCAACAUCCCCGUUCGCCGCGCCCAGCACCAUCAGCCGGUAGAACUGAAGGC